CGGCGAAAGUCGGAGUAAUACUUGAUAGUCUCUUCGGAGUAAAGAUUAUCGCUUUGGGAACGGCCUGCGGGCUAUCAGCUUGUUGGUACGGUAACGGCGUACCAAGGCUACGACGGCUAGGGGAGGUGAGAGCCUGACCCCCACCGAUGGAACUGCGACACGGUCCAUACUCCUACGGGAGGCCGCAGUCGAGAAUCUUCCGCAAUGGACGAAAGUCUGACGGAGCGACGCCGCGUGGUGGAUGAAGCGUUUCGGCGCGUAAACACCUUUUAUGAGGGAAGAAGUUUAUUGACAUUACCUCAUGAAUAAGGGGCUCCCAAUUCUGUGCCAGCAGGAGCGGUAAUACAGAAGCCUCGAGCGUUACCCGGAUUCACUGGGCGUAAAGGGUGCGUAGGCGGAUAUGUUAGUCAGAUGUUAAAUCUUCACGGCUCAACCGGAAGGCUGCAUUUGAAACGGCAUAUCUAGAAGAAGUCAGAGGUGUGCGGAACUCACGGUGUAGGGGUGAAAUCCGUUGAUAUCGUGGGGAACACCAAAUGCGAAGGCAGCACACUGGGACUCUCUUGACGCUGAGGCACGAAAGCAUGGGUAGCGAACGGGAUUAGAUACCCCGGUAGUCCAUGCCCUAAACGCUGUCUGUUAGCUUUUGGGGGAAUCGACCCCUCCAGAGGCGUACGUAACCCGUUAAGCAGACCGCCUGGGUAGUACGAGCGCAAGCUUAAAACUCAAAGGAAUAGACGGGGGCUCGCACAAGCGGUGGAGCGCGGGGCUUAAUUCGUCGCUAAGCGAAAAACCUUACUGAGGCUAGAAACCAUACUGCACGCUCUGGGAAACUAGAGAAGCCUUCGAGGGUGUAUGGCAGGUGAUGCAUGGCCGUCGUCAGUUCGUGGCUUGAGCUGUUCCCUUAAGUGGGGAAACGAACGCAACCCUCGUUGCCUGUUACAUGUGUCAGGCGAGACUGCUCC
rnacentral:rRNA from 1 species